rnacentral:tRNA from 1 species
GGGCGCGUAGCUCAGCGGAAGAGCACUCGCCUUACAAGCGAGGGGUCGCAGGUUCGAACCCUGCCGCGCCCACC